UGCCAGACUCCUACGGGAGGCAGCAGUGAGGAAUAUUGGUCAAUGGGCGCGAGCCUGAACCAGCCAAGUCGCGUGAGGGAGGACGGCCCUACGGGUUGUAAACCUCUUUUGCCGGGGAGCAACGGGCGUCACGUGUGGCGCCACUGAGAGUACCCGGAGAAAAAGCAUCGGCUAACUCCGUGCCAGCAGCCGCGGUAAUACGGAGGAUGCGAGCGUUAUCCGGAUUUAUUGGGUUUAAAGGGUGCGCAGGCGGAGGUGCAAGUCAGCGGUCAAAUUGCGGGGCUCAACCCCGUACUGCCGUUGAAACUGGGGGCCUUGAGUGGGCGAGAAGAAGGCGGAAUGCGUGGUGUAGCGGUGAAAUGCAUAGAUAUCACGCAGAACCCCGAUUGCGAAGGCAGCCUUCCGGCGCCCUACUGACGCUGAGGCACGAAAGUGCGGGGAUCGAACAGGAUUAGAUACCCCCGUA
rnacentral:rRNA from 1 species